rnacentral:rRNA from 1 species
UAGUGAGUUUGAUCCUGGCUCAGGACGAACGCUGGCGGUCUGCUUAACACAUGCAAGUCGAACGCAAGUAGAAAUACUUGAGUGGCGGACGGGUGAGUAACGCGUGAGAAUCUGCCUUCUGGUCGGGGGACAACCACUGGAAACGGUGGCUAAUACCGGAUAUGCCUAUGGGUGAAAGAUUAAUUGCUAGAAGAAGAGCUCGCGUCUGAUUAGCUAGUUGGAGAGGUAAAGGCUCACCAAGGCAUCGAUCAGUAGCUGGUCUGAGAGGACGAUCAGCCACACUGGGACUGAGACCACGGCCCAGACUCCUACGGGAGCAGCAGUGGGGAAUAUUGGACAAUGGGGCGAAAGCCUGAUCCAGCAAUGCCCGCGUGAGUGAUGAAGG